GACGAACGCUGGCGGCGCGCCUAACACAUGCAAGUCGAACGGAGCUGAGAGAAGCUUGCUUUUCUUAGCUUAGUGGCGAACGGGUGAGUAACGCGUGAGUAACCUGCCCUGGAGUGGGGGACAACAGUUGGAACCGACUGCUAAUACCGCAUAAGCCCACGAUCCGGCAUCGGAUUGAGGGAAAAGGAUUUAUUCGCUUCAGGAUGGACUCGCGUCCAAUUAGCUAGUUGGUGAGGUAACGGCCCACCAAGGCGACGAUUGGUAGCCGGACUGAGAGGUUGAACGGCCACAUUGGGACUGAGACACGGCCCAGACUCCUACGGGAGGCAGCAGUGGGGGAUAUUGCACAAUGGGGGAAACCCUGAUGCAGCGACGCCGCGUGGAGGAAGAAGGUUUUCGGAUUGUAAACUCCUGUCGUUAGGGACGAUAAUGACGGUACCUAACAAGAAAGCACCGGCUAACUACGUG
rnacentral:rRNA from 1 species